rnacentral:lncRNA from 1 species
UUAAUUCAUUUAACUAACAAAUGUGCAUGCGUAUGCGUUUGCGUGUGUGUGUGUGUGUGUGUGUGUGUGUGUGUAAAGACAGCAUUAGAGAGAGACAAUAUGAGUCUGCUACCCACUGGGGACACAGCAACGAAUAAAACAGAAUCUCUUCCCUGGGAGUCAGUGCUGCUGGAGCCAUGCCAGGAAACAGGGCCAAGGAUGGGAUUGGUGAUCCAUGCAGGACCACUGGGUUUUAUUCUGAGAAGACAGGGAGCUGUUGGAGGGCU